rnacentral:rRNA from 1 species
UACGAGGGGGGCAAAUGUUGUUCGGAAUCACUGGGCGUAAAGGGAGCGUAGGCGGGUUCUUAAGUUAGGUGUUUAAUCCCGGGGCCCAACCCCGGACCGGCACUUAAAACUGGGAAUCUUGAAUAGUGGAGAGGUCAGUGGAAUUGGGGGUGUAGCGGUGGAAUGCGUAGAGAUCCCCAAGAACACCAGUUGCGAAGGCGGCUGACUGGACACAUAUUGACGCUGAGGCUCGAAAGCUAGGGGAGCAAACAGG